GACGAACGCUGGCGGCGUGCUUAACACAUGCCAGUCGAACGGAAAGGCCCUGCUUUUGUGGGGUGCUCGAGUGGCGAACGGGUGAGUAACACGUGAGUAACCUGCCCUUGACUUUGGGAUAACUUCAGGAAACUGGGGCUAAUACCGGAUAGGAGCUCCUGCUGCAUGGUGGGGGUUGGAAAGUUUCGGCGGUUGGGGAUGGACUCGCGGCUUAUCAGCUUGUUGGUGGGGUAGUGGCUUACCAAGGCUUUGACGGGUAGCCGGCCUGAGAGGGUGACCGGCCACAUUGGGACUGAGAUACGGCCCAGACUCCUACGGGAGGCAGCGGUGGGGAAUAUUGCACAAUGGGCGGAAGCCUGAUGCGGCAACGCCGCGUGCGGGAUGACGGCCUUCGGGUUGUAAACCGCUUUCGCCUGUGACGAAGCGUGAGUGACGGUAAUGGGUAAAGAAGCACCGGCUAACUACGUG
rnacentral:rRNA from 1 species